CUCACACACUCACACAUACACUCAUUCUCAACUUUCUCUCUCUAAAAUCCUAUCUUUGUUUUUUCUUUAAUUUAUUUUUAAUUUCUCCCUUUCUUUCUACUCGCGAGAAAGGUCAACAACAUAGUAGAAGAAGAAGAAGAAGUAGAGAAAACAUAGAUGAGAAUCGAGACGAGACCGAUUUUUUCAUCUCUCUAAUUCUAAAUCUGAAUUCCCUCUUUUCUCCAUCUCCCAAACCCUAAAUCGAUGCAGGUUUCGACAUAAAUUGGACUCACAAUCAUGUCUUUCCACCCGAGGCCUUACAGCAGCUACGGCGAGGCGGAGGAGGCGGAGGAUCAGGCGCGGCGCGAGGGCAGCAGCUCCGGCGCGGCGGCGGCGGUGCAGCGCGAGCACAUGUUCGACAAGGUGGUGACGCCGAGCGACGUGGGGAAGCUGAACCGGCUGGUGAUUCCGAAGCAGCACGCGGAGAAGUACUUCCCCCUCGACUCCUCCGCGAACGAGAAGGGCCUGCUCCUCAAUUUCGAGGACCGCAACGGCAAGCCCUGGCGCUUCCGCUACUCCUACUGGAACAGCAGCCAGAGCUACGUCAUGACCAAGGGAUGGUCCCGCUUCGUCAAGGAGAAGAAGCUCGACGCCGGCGACAUCGUCUCCUUCCAGCGCGGCGUCGGGGACCUCGCCAAGGACCGCCUCUUCAUCGACUGGCGCCGCCGCCCCGACGCGCCGGAUCUCCACGCCUCCUCCAGCAUCCCGCACCACUUCUCCUUCCGCGCCCUCCACCACCACCCCUGGAGCCCCUUGUUCAUCCCGCCGACGCAGCCCGCGCCGCCGCGGGAGUACCUCCACACGACGACGCACCACCACUACCACCACCCGCCGACGGGGUACGGGCCCUACGCGUACGGGAGUGUGGUGAACGGAAGCCCGUGCCCCCCCGGGUCGAUAGUGUACCUGAGGGGAGGAGCGGCGUUUGGGACGGCAGCAGCAGCGGCGGCGGCGGCGGGGCAGGGGCAGAGGGAGCAGAUGGUGUUCGAGUCGGUGCCGGUGGUCCAGGGAAAAGCUGCAGCAAAGCGACUUAGGCUGUUCGGCGUGAACAUGGACUGUCCUAUCUCUGACUCGGAUGAAUGCGAUAUCCUGUCCUCCUCCGCGGCCCACCACCCGCUGCUGGCGGCGCCGCCCUCUCACGACAAAGGGAAGGGAUCCAUGUCCUUGGAUUUGGAUUUGGAUUUGGAUAUUUAGAUUGCAGAAUUAUCCCUUUUGUCUUAAUUGCUUAUAUCUCUUCCACACCCACAACUACUGCUGCCUUCGCAGCUUUUGGAGAUAAGUUUUACACGAGGCAAGAAGGGAAUCUGGAGAGAGAGAGGGAGAGACUGAGAGAAAAUAUAUUAAGGACCAUGCUUUAGUUGCUUGCCAUUGCUGAUAUAUACUCGGUACCAAUAAUCUUCUUUUUCUUUAAUGCUGAUAUAAAUGGAUAUUGUAUAACAUAUACACUGUGGCCACUCCACCCUAUGAUUAUAGCAUAAUUUAGUCAAGAAUCAUUACCUCAUUUUACUUUUGUAACAGAUCUAUAAGUGUGUG